rnacentral:sRNA from 1 species
AACCGUUGCGGCUGUUUGGUGGGGGGGGAGGAACGCAAGGCACGGUUGGUACAGAUCUCCUUGCUCUGUGCCCUUUACUUGAUGCAAAAAAAUGUGGGAGCUGCGCUACUUUUAUACGGAACGCGAUAUUUAUACGUAAGUGACAUACCUAAAAAUCAUCGUAGGGCCGUACUGCCAGGAUUUAUUUACACUUGAUUAGUGGAUUGUAUCAGUGCAGAUGGACGCCAUUCUCGGCCGCGGAUACAAGGGGGCUGUCAAGCGCCGAAGGCAAUGUUUAGCUUCGUAUCGAUUCAUCAAUUGGACUUCGCCUGCUGUUUAUCUCUCGUUGGUACAAUAGCCAAAGUGCAUGGUAUCUACAGCAAGAAUUGGGGAAACUGCCACAUUUCUCUCUCGGUAGAUUAAAAUUAAUUUUUCAAACAGUUCAGUUCUAUUCACUCUUUCCACUCAAUGCAAUUUUCAAUGCAGCUCUCUCGUCUCAGGCAAGAGAAAUAAAUGUGGCGAUUGGGAACGGUAGCAACAUCGCAAGUGCUAUAAAAAGGUAUCCAUUUUGAUUAGGAAGCCCAAUUUUCCGGAUUGAAGGCCACUCACUCAAAGUCCUGGAUCGAGGUUGAAACUCCAAGUUGAUAGAUAUUCCAACACGUCGAACUGUAUUCCGAUCAUCCUCACCGCGAACUUAUAACCUUGCUAAGGUGUGAAUUUCGUCACUGCAACCACCCAUCGAAGCGAUUUCCUCCACUCCCCAUCAAGCGAUGACCAAAUUUCCCGCAGGAGUGGAACACUCCACCCAUCGACCCACCAUACCCCCCUAAGGUGGUGCAGGGCGACGCAGUAAUGAGCCAGGAUGACAAGUGCCAUGGGCCUACGUGCCCUCAUAAGCUCCAGGUAUAGCGGAGGCACCGUUGUUGCCCAGGUAAUCACUGGAUUAGGCCUUGCCGAACCCCCGUGAAUCUGCUUGAAUAUGAACUGAACCUGGUCUAUGGCAGUCUCGUAAGUAUUCUUCUCAUUCUGGACAGUGUAUCGUUUAUAGUUCUUAUUGUGUUGGCCGAGCUUCCGUAACGCUGUCAUUGCAUCGUUGGGUAGCCACGGGGUGUAAUCGUCUAGUUUCAUGAUUACAUCAAAUGCACCGUCCUUAAUCUGAUCUGCUGCAGUAGAAUAUGCCUGCUGCAUACCUCUUGCAAGAAGAAAGACAAGAUGGAGCUGGCUGAUAGAGUUGCAGGCAUCCCCUGAGUUUAAGACCUGCGAGGACCCAAAUGCGAAGACAGUAAGAAGGAUCGAAACCAGGAACACAGCCUUGCAAUUUUCUUCAUUGAUAUUUCCUAGUAAUGGUUGGGAUAGAGCCACAGCCCGAGAGUGGUGGCCAAGGGCGAGGGCCAGAUAUAGCUGUUGUUUGAUAUUGGGGGCGUUACACCCUGGUCUUCGUCCAAGCUCAAGACCAGAUACCGCUAGAAUUCCAUGCAUUAAGAACGGAUAUGUGGGCGAUUCCCGCCGAAGUGCUUCCUGCCAGACAAUUUUGUAUUCUAAAUUGGUCGAGAAAGGGUGUAUGUCGAUGCUGUACCAAUUCAUCAUUAGC